rnacentral:lncRNA from 1 species
AAUAAAUAAAAUCCAAUACCUUCCACCUCAAGCUUUCAAGUUGGAUUUACCACUAAUGUCGUAUUAUAUGCUAUCUUGCUUGAGAACACAUUGGGCGUCUGGUUGUGAAAGAUAAAAAUAAUGUUUUGUAAGUAUCCAAGUAGGCUAGUGGAUUUCAUCUAUCUAAAUACAAACUAUUUCGGAUUUCAAUGUAAAAGCUUAAUCCCAAUACAAAGCGCUUAGAAAUACUAUUUUUAAUAAUUUUAAGAUAUUCUAACCACAAAAUCUUUUAUUGUUUAUUGGUUUUAUUUUUUAUUAUAUUUUAUUUUAAAACCUAACCCUAGACAACGAGCUUCGGCAAGCUGUAAUUCUCAAUUUUAAAGUUCGAUUGUUGUAAACUUCUA